rnacentral:rRNA from 1 species
GACGAACGCUGGCGGCGUGCUUAACACAUGCAAGUCGAACGGUGAAGCGCCUUCCUUUUUGGUGGGUGUGGAUGAGUGGCGAACGGGUGAGUAACACGUGAGUAACCUGCCCCCUUCUUCUGGAUAACCGCAUGAAAGUGUGGCUAAUACGGGAUAUUCUGGGUCUGUCGCAUGAUGGGUCUGGGAAAGAUAUUGUUUCGGUGGGGGAUGGGCUUGCGGCCUAUCAGCUUGUUGGUGGGGUGAUGGCCUACCAAGGCGGUGACGGGUAGCCGGCCUGAGAGGGUGGACGGUCACACUGGGACUGAGACACGGCCCAGACUCCUACGGGAGGCAGCAGUGGGGAAUAUUGCACAAUGGGCGCAAGCCUGAUGCAGCGACGCCGCGUGAGGGAUGGAGGCCUGCGGGUUGUGAACCUCUUUCGCCAGUGAAGCAGGCCUGCCUCGUUUGUGGGUGGGUUGACGGUAGCUGGAGAAGAAGCGCCGGCUAACUACGUG